AGUGAACGCUGGCGGUAGGCCUAACGCAUGCAAGUCGAACGGCAGCACAGUAAGAGCUUGCUCUUACGGGUGGCGAGUGGCGGACGGGUGAGGAAUACAUCGGAAUCUACUUUUUCGUGGGGGUUAAGGAAGGGAAACUUACGCUAAUACCGCAUACGACCUACGGGUGAAAGCAGGGGAACUUCGGACCUUGCGCGAUUGAAUGAGCGGAUGUCGGGUUAGCUGGUGGGGGGGGUAAAGGCCAACCAGGGCGACGAUCCGUAGCUGGUGUGAGAGGCGGGUCAGCGACACUGGAGGUGGGACACGGUCCAUGCUCCUGCGAGACGCAGCAGUCGGGAAUAUUGGACAAUGGGCGCAAGCCUGGUCCAGCCAUACCGCGUGUGUGAAGAAGGCCUUCGGUUUGUAAAGCCCUUUUGUUGGGAAAGAAAAGCAGCAGGUUAAUACCACGCUGUUCUGACGGUACCGAAAGAAUAAGCACCGGCUAACUUCGUG
rnacentral:rRNA from 1 species